UAGGGAAUCUUCCACAAUGGACGCAAGUCUGUUGGAGCAACGCCGCGUGAGUGAUGAAGGUCUUCGGAUCGUAAAACUCUGUUGUUAGAGAAGAACACGAGUGAGAGUAACUGUUCAUUCGAUGACGGUAUCUAACCAGCAAGUCACGGCUAACUACGUGCCAG
rnacentral:rRNA from 1 species